GACGAACGCUGGCGGCGUGCUUAACACAUGCAAGUCGAACGGAAAGGCCCUGCUUUUGUGGGGUGCUCGAGUGGCGAACGGGUGAGUAACACGUGAGUAACCUGCCCUUGACUUUGGGAUAACUUCAGGAAACUGGGGCUAAUACCGGAUAGGAGCUCCUGCUGCAUGGUGGGGGUUGGAAAGUUUCGGCGGUUGGGGAUGGACUCGCGGCUUAUCAGCUUGUUGGUGGGGUAGUGGCUUACCAAGGCUUUGACGGGUAGCCGGCCUGAGAGGGUGACCGGCCACCUUGGGACUGCGAGACGGCGCAAUCUCCUACGGGCGGCAGCAGUCGGGAAUAUUGCACAAUGGGCGGACGCCUGAUGCAGCAACGCCGCGUGCGGGAUGACGGCCUUCGGGUUGUAAACCGCUUUCGCCUGUGACGAAGCGUGAGUGACGGUAAUGGGUAAAGAAGCACCGGCUAACUACGUG
rnacentral:rRNA from 1 species